UACGUAGGGGGCAAGCGUUGUCCGGAUUUAUUGGGCGUAAAGAGCGUGUAGGCGGCCAGGUAGGUCUGCUGUGAAAACUCGAGGCUCAACCUCGAGACGUCGGCGGAAACCAUCUGGCUAGAGUCCGGAAGAGGAGAGUGGAAUUCCUGGUGUAGCGGUGAAAUGCGCAGAUAUCAGGAGGAACACCGAUGGCGAAGGCAGGUCUCUGGGCCACUACUGACGCUGAGAAGCGAAAGCAUGGGGAGCGAACAGG
rnacentral:rRNA from 1 species